rnacentral:misc_RNA from 1 species
UUAUAUUCUUGUGAACUUUAUAAACUUUGCUUGGGUGAAUAGUAUUGGAAACUUUACUGUUUGCCCAAAGUUUUUUACAAAAACACUUUAUUAAAAAAAAAACACCAAAACGAUUCUGAAAAUUUUAAAAAAAUUAAAUUAAAACUUUCAACAACGGAUCUCUUGGUUCUCGCAUCGAUGAAGAACGCAGCAAAAUGCGAUAAGUAAUGUGAAUUGCAGAAUUGUGAAUCAUCGAAUCUUUGAACGCACAUUGCGCCUUUUGGUAUUCCAAAAGGCAUGCCUGUUUGAGCGUGAUUACAUCUUCUUAAAUCAACUUUAUUGUUUGAAUUUAAGGUAUUGGAAAUUUUGUACUUGAUUCAUUUCAAGUACAAUUUUCUGAAAUACAUUGGU